AAUGCUAAAAAUUAUUAUUAUUCCAAUAAUUACACUGCUACCAAUAAAAUGACUCUCUAAAAACUCUAUAAUCUGAAUCAAUAUGACUAUUCACAGCCUAAUCAUCAGCUUCAUUGCCCUGUUAUUUUUUAAUCAAUUUAAUGACAAUCUAUUCAACUUCUCAUUAACUUUCUCUUCUGAUCUGCUGACAUCACCCCUUCUAAUCUUAACAGCCUGACUACUACCUCUUAGAAUUAUAGCAAGCCAGUACCACCUCUCCAAUGAGUCACCCCCAUGGAAAAAGCUCUAUUAUUUCCAUAUUGGUUUCCCUACAAUUUUCUUUAAUUAUGGAAUUGACAGCCACAGAACUAAUUAUAUUUUAUAUUCUCUUUGAAGCUACACUUAUCCCUACCUUAAUUAUGAUCACCCCCUGAGGUAACCAACCAGAACGCCUCAAUGCAAGCUCGUAUUUCUUAUCUUAUACACUAGUGGGAUCUCUUCCCCCUGCUUACUAUACUUAUUUAUAUACUCAAAAUACCUCGGUUCACUGAACACGAUAAUAAUAAUAUUUAACACCCAAGAACUAUUAAUUUCCUGAUCCAAUAACCUUGUAUGAUUAACAUGUAUUAUGGGUUUUAUAGUAAAAAUACCCCUACACGGACUUCACCUAUGACUUCCUAAAGCCCAUGUACAAGCCCCUAUUGCAGGCUCAAUAGUACUUGCAGCAGUUCUCCUAAAACCAGGCAGCUAUGGCAUAAUACGGGUUACCCUUAUCCUCAGCCCCCUGACAGAAUAUACACCUUACCCCUUCCUCAUGUUAUCCUUAUGAGGGAUAGUUAUGAUAAGCUCUAUUUGUCUACGACAAACUGAUCUAGAAUCACUUAUUGCAUAUUACUCUGUAAGUCAUACAGCACUUGUUAUUAAGGCUAUCCUCAUUCAAACUCCCUGAAGCUUUACCGGUGCAAUUACCCUCAUAAUUGCCCAUGGACUUACUUCAACCUUACUAUUCUGCCUAGCAAAUUCAAACUAUGAGUGAAUCCAUAGCCGAAUCAUAUUACUCUUUUAAGGUCUUCAAACACUACUCCCACUAACAGCCUUUUGAUGACUUAUAGCAAACCUUACUAACCUUGCCUUACCCCCCACCACUAAUCUAAUAGGAGAACUCUUUGUAAUGGUGGCUUCAUUCUCCUGAUCAAACAUCAUCAUUAUGCUUAUAGGACUAAUAUAUUAAUCACAGCCCUUUAUUCCCUAUACAUGCUUAUCACAACACAAGGAACACUUACAUAUUACAUUAACAGUAUUAAACCUUCCUCCACACAAGAAAAGAUGCUAAUACUUACACACCUUGCACCUAUUCUCCUAUUAUCCCUAAACCCUAAGAUUAUUAUAGGUUUUA
rnacentral:lncRNA from 1 species